UUGCUUUGGCAGCACAUAUACUAAAAUUGGAAUGAUACAGAGAAGAUUAGCACUGCCCUUGAACAAGGAUCACGUGAAAAUUCGUGAAGCAUUCCAUAUUUUG
rnacentral:snRNA from 1 species